rnacentral:rRNA from 1 species
GACGAACGCUGGCGGCGUGCUUAACACAUGCAAGUCGAACGGAAAGGCCCUGCUUUUGUGGGGUGCUCGAGUGGCGAACGGGUGAGUAACACGUGAGUAACCUGCCCUUGACUUUGGGAUAACUUCAGGAAACUGGGGCUAAUACCGGAUAGGAGCUCCUGCUGCAUGGUGGGGGUUGGAAAGUUUCGGCGGUUGGGGAUGGACUCGCGGCUUAUCAGCUUGUUGGUGGGGUAGUGGCUUACCAAGGCUUUGACGGGUAGCCGGCCUGAGAGGGUGACCGGCCACAUUGGGCCUGAGAUACGGCCCAGAAUCCUACGGGAGGCAGCAGUGGGGAAUAUUGCACAAUGGGCGGAAGCCUGAUGCAGAAACGCCGCGUGCGGGAUGACGGCCUUCGGGUUGUAAACCGCUUUCGCCUGUGACGAAGCGUGAGUGACGGUAAUGGGUAAAGAAGCACCGGCUAACUACGUG